AGAAAGAAAAAAACUAGGUAGUCAGAGAAAUCAGUUAAAACAUUAAUGACAUAGGUUGUAGGAGGAAACAGAAAACUGAUGAAUUUUCAUUUCUAGGGGUCAACUGUGAAGAGAAACUGCCCUGUUGAUGGGUUGGAUUUGGUGGGCCUCAUCUUGCUGUGAUGAGUCUCCAGAGGCAGUUGUUUUGUUGUAAUAAGACUGUCCUUCAGUUAUUUUGCUAGUAUAUUUAUUAUCUUGAUUGGUUGUAUGCUUAGCUUUUAUUCUCAUCUCAUGCUCUCUUUGUGCGUAUCAUUUGUUGACUUCGUAUGGACUACAAAUACUUGCCAACUAAGCAAAGAAAAAAGAAAAAGAAAAAAAAUUAUUGGACAACGUGGAUUUUAGCUUUCGUAGCCUCUUAACCAUUUUCAGUUGUUUGGUUAUCAAACUUCAG
rnacentral:lncRNA from 1 species